rnacentral:rRNA from 1 species
GUGUCAGCAGCCGCGGUAAUACGUAGGGUGCGAGCGUUAAUCGGAAUUACUGGGCGUAAAGCGUGCGUAGGCGGUUCUCCAAGUCCGUUGUGAAAGCCCCGGGCUCAACCUGGGAAUGGCAGUGGAAACUAGGGGACUGGAAUCUGGCAGAGGGGGGUGGAAUGCCGCGUGUAGCAGUGAAAUGCGUAGAGAUGCGGCGGAACACCGAUGGCGAAGGCAGCCCCCUGGGCUGAGAUUGACGCUCAGGCACGAAAGCGUGGGGAGCAAACAGGAUUAGAUACCCUGGUAGUCC